rnacentral:rRNA from 1 species
AGCUCCAAUAGCGUAUAUUAAAGUUGUUGCAGUUAAAAAGCUCGUAGUUGGAUCUCGGGUCCGGACUGGCGGUCCUGUUCACGCAGGGACUGCUUGUUCCGACCUACCUGCCGGUUUUCCCUUGGUGCUCUUCAUUGAGUGCCUUGGGUGGCCGGAACGUUUACUUUGAAAAAAUUAGAGUGUUCAAAGCAGGCAUUUCGCCUGAAUAUCUAUGCAUGGAAUAAUGGAAUAGGACCUCGGUUCUAUUUUGUUGGUUUUCGGAACUCGAGGUAAUGAUUAAGAGGGACAGACGGGGGCAUUAGUAUUACGGUGUUAGAGGUGAAAUUCUUGGAUCGCCGUAAGACUAACUACUGCGAAAGCAUUUGCCAAGAAUGUUUUCA